rnacentral:rRNA from 1 species
GACGAACGCUGGCGGCGUGCUUAACACAUGCAAGUCGAGCGGUAAGGCCCUUUCGGGGGUACACGAGCGGCGAACGGGUGAGUAACACGUGGGUGACCUGCCCUCAGCUCUGGGAUAAGCCUGGGAAACUGGGUCUAAUACUGGAUAUGACUCCACGGUGCAUGUCGUGGGGUGGAAGGCCUUGUGCGGCUGAGGAUGGGCCCGCGGCCUAUCAGCUUGUUGGUGGGGUGACGGCCUACCAAGGCGACGACGGGUAGCCGGCCUGAGAGGGCGACCGGCCACACUGGGACUGAGACACGGCCCAGACUCCUACGGGAGGCAGCAGUGGGGAAUCUUGCGCAAUGGGCGAAAGCCUGACGCAGCGACGCCGCGUGAGGGAUGACGGCCUGUGU